CCCCCUCUCACUCUAGCUCUUUGGACAAUUUCCAAAUAGAAUAUCCAGGCUGAGUGGUUCUCCUCCUGAUGAAGAAUAAUCACUGACGUCUGGAAGUGAUGUUUCCGCUGUUUCUCCUCCUGAUUAUGGGUCUCCUGCUUCCAUCUCCAUCCUAGAUUUCACAACAAAGGGCCAUCUAGAAAGAAGCACGCCUUUCACCAGGCUGUCUUCAGUAAUAAAAUCAGAACCGAAGCUUGUUCCCCCCUUUUGCAUGAUGAUGCUGACACCCAGAAGUUUCUCAACAAGCAGAUGUUCCAGAUGUGCAAAUGGAGUGGAAAACAGAAAUGCACACCCACAGGGAAGAAGAUCCACAGCCCUGACAGGGGCUGCUUCACCUCAGUCUCCAACCGUAGACUCCUGUUUGAAAUCAUGGGAGAACGUGAUUGACAGUCCCCUUUGUUUGGGUGUUUACAUUAUAACCAGAAUAACCCUGGUCAACUGAAAAAAAGAAAUCACUUGAUAGGAAUGGCAGAAUGGCUCAGCCAGUAAAGGUUCUCGAUGCCAAGCCUGGAGGUUUGAGUUUGAUCCUCAGGACCCACACGAGGGAAGGAGUAAACCAACAUCUAUAAGUUUUCUCCUGACCUCCACGUAUGCAUAGGGCAUAUGUGGGACCCCAAAGCACACAAUAAAUAAGUAGAUAAAUAAAUGUAAAUUUUAAAUCACUUGACACACAACUUAAACAUAGAAAGUUUAAAGAAAGUUACUCAUGUUAACACCAGGAAAAAAAAAAAAACUAGUACUAAAAGGUUGAUAUUUUUUUUAAGGAUGUUUGGAAUUUUUUGCCAAUUUCUCUAUCUUUUCCAGGCAUUUUUUCUCUUUCACAUUCUGCACUGUCAAAUCCUCUAGUCUGUUCUCUGAACUUUUUAAAAAUCUGUUCUCAUGAAUUUGUCAUAUUUGUCUGAUUUUUUUUCCAGAUAUAUCUCAUCACUGUCUCAAAAGGAAAAAAAAAACUGUCUAUUUAAUCUUCUUUAAAUUUUUCUGUUUCUUCUGUGUGGCCAACUACUUCCGAGGGGUGAGAAUUUGAUUUUCUUUUUAAAAUAUCAAUCCCUCUUUUUUAUUUGCUCACGCUUUUGGGAGGAAGAAAUUGCCAAUGGCAAGUCGAUGGGCACUCAGAAAUCCUGAGUUUAGCUGAAAACCAGUUUGCAGAAUCAAUGUCUAGAGGCUUUCUCAUUAAAUUCUUGUCCUGUGACUCCAUUGCUCCACUGUAGCAUACUGUGAGGCGUGGGGCGCUGGGGUGGGGCUCCCUGGGAGAGGAUACACCAUGCCAUACAUGCUGCCCUUGGUUCCAUCCCCAACAUCUUAGUAGAAAAUCACUUUGUCAGGGCUGAGAGGAGUUUAGCAGUUAAGGGCAUUUGCUGCCCUUGCAGAGAACCUGGGUUUGGUUCCCAGCACCCAUGUCAGGUAGCUCAGCACUGCCUUUAACUCCAGCUGCAGGAAAUCCAACACCCUCCUCAUCUGGCUUCUGCCUACAUGUGGUAUGCACAAACUCACACAGGGUCACACACAUACAUAUACAUAUACAUUUUUUUUAUUUUAAAAAAGAAAACCUAUUUUGAGCCAAACGCUGUCUCAAGCAGUCGAGACACUAAAAUGAAAGCAAAGGAUACACCACUCAAGAAGAAUUAAUAAUGUUGCACCUACUUGUUGACCACCAAUAAUGUGUCAGUCAUUAUUCUAGGUACAUGAACUGGAAGGAAUGUAACAUAGAUAAAAGAAUACAAUAUAGAUAGAUACUAUUGUUUUCCAGUCUGCCACAUUCUGGCUUAUAAACUGCUGAAUCAUCUAAGGGUAGAACAAUAAUGACUCAGUGAUUAAAAGCACUUGUUGUUCUUCCAAAGGACCCAGGCUGAGUUCCCAGCACCAACACAGUGACUCACAACCAUCUAUAACUCAAUUCAAAGGGAACAGAUGCAUUUUCUGGUCUCUGUCAUCACCAAGCAUGUAUGUGAUGCACAGAAAUGUAUGCAGGCAAAAUAGUUACAUAUAUAAAUAAAAUAAAAAUAAACCAUGAUGGGUCAUUGUAUUGGCUAGUUUUAAUGUCAACUAGACACACGCUAGAGUCAUCUGAGGAGAGGGAGCCUCAAUUGAGAAAAUGCCUCCAGAAGAUCAGGCUGGUAAGCCUGAAGGACAUUUUGUUAAUUAGUGAUUGAUGGGGAAGGUCCAGCCCAUUGUGAGUGGUGUCAUCCCCAGCCUGUGGUCCUGGGUUCUAGAAGAAAGCAGACUGAGAAAGCCCUGGAGAGCAAGCCAGUAAGUCUC
rnacentral:lncRNA from 1 species